GGUUCCUGCAACUGCUGCAGACGCCACAGUUGAUGAGCCUCUUGCAGGGCACGCAGACCCCACACCUUUUCCUCUUCUUCUUGGCCGGGUUGGCUCCGCCAGCUCCCCCCGAGGAGGACGAGGAGGAGGAGGAAUGAUUCUGCGGGCAGUCUGCCAGAUUGGCAAUUUGAAACGCACUGUCUGUGACGGCUGCUGAGGCUGCUGCGGGGGAGUGAAGGGCUGUCAUGACGAUGACCCCUGGAGGUGGAGACACAGAAAAUCAGAAGCAAUCAAAAUGCAGUUUAUGGAGCUUAGUCCCAACAAUUACCUCUCCAACUCCGUCAUCUAUGGCUCACUGAAGAGGGCUCUUCAUUGCAGAAGAGAGUGUAGAAAGAUCGGAAGAGCCGGAAGGUUGAGGAAGUUGCUAUGGGAUGGAGUUUGCUCUGAGAUGGUGUCUCCUAGGAAUGUCAGAAGGGCUAGACCAAUAAAUAUCCUUUCAUGGUUAAAAAAUACUAUAAAAAUGAGGUCUGGAAGGAAUUUAUCCUAACAUAGGGGAUACGUGUGAAAACUUUCUAGCUUCUAUCAUUAUAAACAGAAGGAAAGCUGAAAUUGUUGUGCAGAGAUAGUGGUUCGAGACCCCUUUGGGGGUUGAAUGACCAUUUCACAGAGGUUGCCUGAAACCAUCUGAAAAAGAUAUUUAUAUUAUAAUUCAUAACAUUAGCAAAAUUACAAUUAUAAAAUAACAAUGAAAUUUAUGGUUGGGGGUCACUACAAAUUGAGGAACUGUAUGGAAGGGUCUCAGCAUGAAGAUGGUUGAGAACCACUGGUCUAAGAUGAGGAAUAAGACAAAGAUUCCAUCUUCACAACUCAUAUUUAAUAUAGUAUUAGAAGUUCAGGCCAAGAAAUAAAACAAGAAAAAGAAAUGAAGGACAUCCAAAUAGAAAAGGAACAAGUCAAAUUACUUCUGUUUAUAAAAUUAUGACUACACAUAUAGAAAAUCGAUUUCCUCCCUGCAAAAAUUUUUACAGUGAUAAAUUUAAUAGUUACAGGCUAUAAAACCACCAUAAAAAUAAGUAGCAUUUUGUACUUUAUUAAUAAAGUUUCUAAGAAACCAAAGAAGCAAUCUCAAAAACAGAUGUAAAAAAUACAUAAAAGAAAAUUUUAAACAAGGAAAUUAAUGAUCUCUGCAAAGAAAUGAACAAAACACUGUUGAGAUAAAUUGAAGAUCACACACAAAAAAAUGAAAAGAAAUCCUAUGUUAUGCUUUUGGAAUGAAAAAUAAUAAUAUUAAUAUAUUAACUGUUCCUACCAAAAUAUCAUUGAAAUUUUUCAUGUAGAAAACACACUCCAAACAAAUUUUAUGAAACUACUAAAGAACUUAAAAAUAGCAAAAAGAGUUCUGAGCAAAACAAACAAUACCGGAGAUAUUGCAAUGUCUGCUAUGUAAACAUACUUAGUAUUACUAAAGAAAGUAUAGAGUGAUAGAAAGCAAAACAUAGGUGAAUGACCUGAAUUGACUUUGCCCCAAUAUAUUGUAUAAAUUGCUAAGAAGAAUAUGAAAAAAAAAGUAUCAUCAGAGAAAUGCAAAUUGAAACCUCCUCAAGAUAUCAUAUUACCCCUAUUAGAAUGCAUAUCAUAAAAAGAACAAACACAGGUUGUCAAAGACGAGAAAUUGGGAACUCUCAUGUAAUGGCGGAAAUAUAAAUUAGGACAUAAGGGAAAACAGUAUGGAAUAUAAUACGGAAUUUCUCUACAAAGCUAUAAGAAAAGCCUUAUAUGAUCUAUGAAUCCCACUACUGCUAAGGAGUCAAAGGAAAUGACAUCAUCAUCAGGCAUGCUGCACUAGCAUGCUGGUUGCAGAAUUUUCAAAAUAGCCAGUACAUCGAAUCAGCCUAUGUGUAAGAUAAAUGGACAAGGAAAAUGUGGUGGAAAUACAUAACGGAGUGAAAGCAAUGAAGAGAACAGAAGUCUGUGGAUUGUAGCAUGAUUGAAGACAUUAAAAAGAGUGAAAACUCAGACGCAAAAGCUGAAGUCACAUGCUCUCUCCUAUGGGUGCUAAAGUUGAUUUCACAGAGAAUAAAAUAAUACCAGAGGCUGCUUAGUAUUACACAGAGUAUUGUUGUUGGUUUCCAGUUAGCAGGUUGAUAUGGGGAAUAACUUCUAAUAUUUGAGCAGUACUCCAUUGUGUAAAUGUACCACAUUUUUUGUAUCCAUUCCUCUGUUGAGGGGCAUAGCAUACAUAAUUACUAUGUUUCUUGACAAUUAAUUGAACAUUUCAAAAUAGAUAGCAGAGAGAAAUUUGCAUGCUCAAAUAUUGUAGGAAAAGUUUUAGAUAUUUCACUUAUAUUUCCAUGUCACAAACAUGUGUGGUAGGUUGUGUUUGUUUUUGUCACCCCUCUGUAACUAAAACCCUUCACAGAAGUAACUUGAGGGGGAUUUCCUUCAGCUCGAGGUUUCAGAGGGCUGUCAUUGAUUUUAGAGAAGGGAAGCACAACAGAGCAGUUCGGUUCAUAUUGGUGAAAGCUGUUCGCAUGGUAAUGGAUGAGGAAGCAGAGCCAGGUAGCCUGCAAAGAGAAUGCCUCUCCAGACCUACUUCUGCCGGAUUGGCCCCAUUCUGCAAAGUUCCUGCAACCUCCCAAAAGAGCACCAUCAGCUGGGAAAGAAGCCAAACAAGACUUCAUAACGAGAACUUCUGAGGACUAAUUCAGAGGGAAAUCACACACUAUGGAUUAACUAAAAAUAAAAAUAAAGGAGGAAAAUCAUUUUACUCAGUGGUGCAGCCAUUGAUAAGCUACAUCCACCCCAUAGAAACAAUACAAGUUAAAAUUAAGUGGGGGUAUUCACGUAUUAAAAACAAAUAAAAAUGUAUAUUAAUACAAAUAUAUUACAAAUAAUAUAUAUUCUUACAAAUAUUACAUAUAUACAGACAGAAACUGCUUAGUUUUCAGAAAGAGAUAAACAUCAUAACUGACUACACUAAUAAUGUUACUAUCCUUAUGAAUACUGAGAGCUGUUACAUGAGAAUAGUUGUAAUUUAAUACUUAAUAUUUCCUUUUCUUUGUGACUGGCAUGUCCAUUUCUACAUGUAGUUUUUAUGAAUUCAUUUUCAAAUUCUUUCUUAUGUGGCUGUAGACUUCAGUGCCCUGUGAGUUACAAGAUGACCACCAACAAUGAAAGGAUAGUUUAUCUCUUUUAUAUUGUCACAAAGGAUAUAUUCAAAAUGGGAACAAUUUAGAGACUUAUUUUCUCAGUAUCUCAAAUAUUUUGCUUUACACUCAGGUACUAAUAAUUCUUUCAAAGUUUUCUGUUGCUCACUGCUACCCUCAUGUUUUGUGAAUUAAUCCUGUAGAGAUUGUAUAGUUAUCAAGGCCUCCAAGGUUGUUUUAUAUCAUUUUUUGCCUGUUUAUUUUCCUGUCAAUCCACGUGUAAACAUUAAACGAGGUACUCAUAUCAUACCCUUAAUGAAUGCUGCUGUGUGUCCUUCCUUGUCAUGAUGCUGUCUGAGAUCUUUCCUAUAUCUUUAUAUGUAUGUGAAGGAUUAACAAGAUCUAUACUUGUUCCAGUUAUGAUUUUUUUUUCACUAUUUAUUUCCCAUCAAGUGUUUAAAUAUAAAUUUAUAAAU
ensembl:antisense